AUCCUUCCUGUAACGAUGACAUAAUGGAGAAGAAAAGGGAAGCCCAGCAUGCUGGCGCUGAGGGUGGGAAGGAGGGAGGCUCAGCUCAGAGGCUCAGCAAAAGGUAAAUGAUCAAUUAACCCUCAAGUGUUUCCAUCACUGUGAGCCACUGCGUGCGUGACUCUUCUGGAGAGCAGAGCUCUGGGGAGUUCAGUCAUCUCAGCAGAAGGGAAUCUGGGCCUCCCAGGAUUUUCUCACCUCCUUCGAAGCACGCCGCUGAUCGGCUCGCUCCUCCACCGGUGUGCAGAGCUCUCUCGAACGGUCUUGGAGGAGGUAGACGGUGUACAGAGGGAAAACAGAAAAUCGCAGAAGGAAAACCAGAGGAAAAGAAGUGGUUUAGUUCCUGGUUUGGGUUCUGCCGUGAUACAGCGUGAACCAGCUUGAGGGACGAACUCUCCGGCAAGCUGCCGACCUAGACCUCUGCUUAGUCCUGCACUUCCGGAAACUACGGCUUCGAGAGCGCGCAGAGCCCGCGCACAGGCUGGCUGCCCACACAGAGCCGGAAGUGGAGCUGGACCUCAUGAACCAGGAGACCAGGACCUGAGCUGAGAUCAAGAGUCAGAUGCUUAACCAACUGGGCCACCCAGAUGCUCCCAGAAGAGGAUUUGCUUUUAUAGACUUGAAGAAGCUGUGAACUCCUAAAAUUAAAAUCAACUGUGAUUUCUCAA